rnacentral:rRNA from 1 species
GACGAACGCUGGCGGCGCGCUUAACACAUGCAAGUCGAGCGAUAACCAUGGCUUCGGCCAUGGGGAGAGCGGCGAACGGGUGAGUAACACGUGAGUGAUCUGCCCUCGACACCGGGAUAGCCCGGGGAAACCCGGAUUAAUACCGGAUAGCCUCUCGAGCCUACGGGCUCGUCAGAAAAGAUGGCUUCGGCUUUCGGUCGAGGAGGAGCUUGCGGCGGAUUAGCUUGUUGGGAGGUAACGGCUCACCAAGGCGACGAUCCGUAGCUGGUCUGAGAGGACGAUCAGCCACACUGGGACUGAGACACGGCCCAGACUCCUACGGGAGGCAGCAGUGGGGAAUCUUGCGCAAUGGGCGAAAGCCUGACGCAGCGACGCCGCGUGAGGGAAGAAGGCCU